rnacentral:rRNA from 1 species
AACUCUGUGCCAGCAGCCGCGGUAAUACGGGGGGUGCAAGCGUCCGUUCGGAAUUAUUGGGCGUAAAGAGCACGUAGGUGGUUACUUAAGUCAGAUGUGAAAGCCCCGGGUUCAACGGAAGAAUUGCAUUUGAUACUGGGUAACUAGAGUGUGGUAGAGAGUAGCGGAACUUCUGGUGGAGCGGUGAAAUGCGUAGAUAUCAGAAGGAACACCAAUGGCGAAGGCAGCUGCUUGGGCCA